GGGGCAUCUCUGACAUGUACUGG
rnacentral:miRNA from 1 species